rnacentral:rRNA from 1 species
AUUGAACGCUGGCGGCAGGCCUAACACAUGCAAGUCGAGCGGAUGAAGAGAGCUUGCUCUCUGAUUUAGCGGCGGACGGGUGAGUAAUGCCUAGGAAUCUGCCUGGUAGUGGGGGAUAACGUCCGGAAACGGGCGCUAAUACCGCAUACGUCCUACGGGAGAAAGCAGGGGACCUUCGGGCCUUGCGCUAUCAGAUGAGCCUAGGUCGGAUUAGCUAGUUGGUGAGGCAAUGGCUCACCAAGGCGACGAUCCGUAACUGGUCUGAGAGGAUGAUCAGUCACACUGGAACUGAGACACGGUCCAGACUCCUACGGGAGGCAGCAGUGGGGAAUAUUGGACAAUGGGCGAAAGCCUGAUCCAGCCAUGCCGCGUGUGUGAAGAAGGUCUUCGGAUUGUAAAGCACUUUAAGUUGGGAGGAAGGGCAGUAAGUUAAUACCUUGCUGUUUUGACGUUACCGACAGAAUAAGCACCGGCUAACUUCGUGCCAGCCGCCGCCGUAAUAC